UCUUUGUUAGUAUAUCGGUUAGUACACGCGCCUGUCAUGCGAAAGCACGUCCGCGCGAAAGCUGGGUUCGACUCCCAGACAGAGAG